rnacentral:rRNA from 1 species
UACGUAGGGUGCGAGCGUUAAUCGGAAUUACUGGGCGUAAAGCGUGCGUAGGCGGUUCGCUGUGUCCGAUGUGAAAGCCCCGGGCUUAACCUGGGAAUGGCAUUGGAAACUGGCGGGCUUGAGUGCGGCAGAGGGGGGGUGGAAUUCCGCGUGUAGCAGUGAAAUGCGCAGAUAUCAGGAGGAACACCGGUGGCGAAGGCGGGUCUCUGGGCCGAUGACUGACGCUGGAGGAGCGAAAGCGUGGGGAGGCGAACAGG